CCUACGGGAGACAGCAGUGGGGACUAUUGGGCAAUGGAGGCAACUUUGACCCAGCAAUGCCGCGUGAAGGAAGACGGUUUUCGGAUUGUAACCUUCUGUUCUUAGUGAAGAAUACUGACGGUAACUAAGGAGCAAGCCACGGCUAACUACGUGCCAGCAGCCGCGGUAAUACGUAGGUGGCAAGCGUUGUGCGGAAUUACUUGGCGUAAAGGGAGCGUAGGCGGGUAGACUAGGCAGCUGUGAAAAGUACGGGCUUAACCACUGGAUUGCAGUUGAAACUAGCAUCGUAGAGUGAAGUAGAGGUAGGAGGAAUGCGGGGUGAAGCGGGGAAAUGCGGAGAUAUACGGAAGAACACCAGUGGCGAAGGGAGCCAACUGGGGUUUAACUGACGCUGAGGGACGAAAGUGUGGGGAGCAAACAGGAUUAGAUACCCGAGUAGUC
rnacentral:rRNA from 1 species